rnacentral:lncRNA from 1 species
UCUACCAAAACCCUAGCAUCGCUUCAUUUCCUCUUCAAGAAUCUCCCUACCCAGCUGCAUUUCUUUUUUUCUUUUUAUCAAAAAACUGAGAACAAUCGUAUAGCCAUCGUAUUUGGUGUUCUACUUUUGUUUUCAUGGAAUUUUCUUUUGAAGGUAUUUUUCUGGUUCGUUAUUCAAAGGGGUAUGGAAGAUGAUCUAUUAUCUCGCAGUCAAUCAAGAAUUCAUAUCCAGAAAGUGGCUUUUGUGAUCAUUUGAGGUUUAUGUUCG